GAAGGAACGACCAGGAGGGAUAAAACCCUUUCUAACCCUAGUUCAUCAAAUCACCAAGAUUGGAUGUGUAAAUUUCACCUAAUUUGAAUGCAUGUGAUCCAAUUCUCGACCAUCUAAGAGUCUCAUACAUUGGGAUUGAAAGAAGAAGGAGCUAGUUCCGGUUCACAAACAAAGGCUCAAGAUCGAGGUAAAGCACCCGUAUGAUUGUCAUUGCGUCGCUCGGAUACGAACACACCUUGAUCACCCGUGAUGCGCUUCCGCAACUUUUGUAGUAACCUUAUUAGUUAAAGGUUUUUGUUAAAGUUAGUAGUGUUGAAGUUUUACGUUUUAACUAGAUGUUUGUGAAUAUUUAAGUAACUUAAACUUGAUGUUUUGAAACGGUA